UACGUAGGCAGCAAGCGUUGUUCGGAGUUACUGGGCGUAAAGGGUGCGUAGGCGGUUUGAUAAGUCGGGUGUGAAACCUCCAGGCUCAACCUGGAGCCGCCACUCGAUACUGUCAUGACUAGAAUUCGGUAGGGGACCACGGAAUUCCUGGUGUAGAGGUGAAAUUCGUAGAUAUUCGGAAGAACACCAGUGGCGAAGGCGACUUACUGGACACAUAUUGACGCUGAGGUGCGAAAGCGUGGGGAGCAAACAGGG
rnacentral:rRNA from 1 species